rnacentral:rRNA from 1 species
GGGAACGUGCCCUCCGGUCUGGGAUAACCCUGGGAAACUAGGGCUAAUACCGGAUACGUGCUUUGGCAGAAAGGUUUACUGCCGGAGGAUCGGCCCGCGUCUGAUUAGCUUGUUGGUGGGGUAACGGCCUACCGAGGCGACGAUCAGUAGCUGGUCUGAGAGGAUGAUCAGCCACACUGGGACUGAGACACGGCCCAGACUCCUACGGGAGGCAGCAGUGGGGAAUAUUGGACAAUGGGCGCAAGCCUGAUCCAGCCAUGCCGCGUGAGUGAUGACGGCCUUAGGGUUGUAAAGCUCUUUUCUCCGGGACGAUAAUGACGGUACCGGAGGAAUAAGCCCCGGCUAACUUCGUGCCAGCAGCCGCGGUAAUACGAAGGGGGCUAGCGUUGCUCGGAAUCACUGGGCGUAAAGGGCGCGUAGGCGGCGUUUUAAGUCGGGGGUGAAAGCCUGUGGCUCAACCACAGAAUGGCCUUCGAUACUGGGACGCUUGAGUAUGGUAGAGGUUGGUGGAACUGCGAGU